AUUGAACGCUGGCGGCAGGCCUAACACAUGCAAGUCGAGCGGCAGCGACUUAACUGAACCUUCGGGGAACGUUAAGGGCGGCGAGCGGCGGACGGGUGAGUAAUGCCUGGGAAUAUGCCCUGAUGUGGGGGAUAACUAUUGGAAACGAUAGCUAAUACCGCAUAAUCUCUUCGGAGCAAAGAGGGGGACCUUCGGGCCUCUCGCGUCAGGAUUAGCCCAGGUGGGAUUAGCUUGUUGGUGAGGUAAUGGCUCACCAAGGCAACGAUCCCUAGCUGGUCUGAGAGAAUGAUCAGCCACACUGGAACUGAGACACGGUCCAGACUCCUACGGGAGGCAGCAGUGGGGAAUAUUGCACAAUGGGGGAAACCCUGAUGCAGCCAUGCCGCGUGUGUGAAGAAGGCCUUCGGGUUGUAAAGCACUUUCAGUAGGGAGGAAGGUAGUGUAGUUAACACCUGCACUAUUUGACGUUACCUACAGAAGAAGCACCGGCUAACUCCGUGCCAGCAGCCGCGGUAAUACGGAGGGUGCGAGCGUUAAUCGGAAUUACUGGGCGUAAAGCGCAUGCAGGCGGCCUGUUAAGUCAGAUGUGAAAGCCCGGGGCUUAACCUCGGAAUUGCAUUUGAAACUGGCAGGCUAGAGUCUUGUAGAGGGGGGUAGAAUUUCAGGUGUAGCGGUGAAAUGCGUAGAGAUCUGAAGGAAUACCAGUGGCGAAGGCGGCCCCCUGGACAAAGACUGACGCUCAGAUGCGAAAGCGUGGGGAGCAAACAGG
rnacentral:rRNA from 1 species